UAGAACUUCAUGUUUUCUAUGUCUUCACUGAUAGAUCUCACUGGUGUAUGCGGAGAAUUUGCAAAGCUAAGGACAGAAAAUGACAAAUUCAUAAAGUCAUAGAUAUACCAAAUUGAUUGUUACAAAGGGUCUAAAAAGAAGAAGAAGAAGAAGAAGAAGGUACAACAAGAAGAAUGAAAACAGAAACGAACAAACUAAAGCUACUGGCUACAGGCUGCCCGUUGAAUAAUCUUCAUCAAUCAUUCGACCAUUGACUGAUGAUGAUCCUGGGUAAGCAGCUUAUUCCUCCCAAUCUUGUUGUGGGUGAAUGCAUGACCGAUGCCGGGGCGCUGUACAUCUACGGGCAUCCAUUAUGAGGAUCACCGCUUCGACACGAAUGCCCUGCUGCUCCUGUUUUUUCCUCCUCCAAGGACAGCAGCAGCCUCGGCCAAAUUGUUGGUGGAGAUGCGGGUAUCGCUUCAUUGUUGAUGGAGAUGUUCCUGGCCGUGGCAGCCUGCUGUGCUCCCGCUGGCAACGGCCGCGCCACGGCACGCGUGGUCAUCAAGAACGAAGUGACCACGAGAACCAUGAGCAUCGCCGCCAUAACCUUUCUCACUAUAGUAUUUACUGAAAGUUCCAUAUGGCUAGUGUAUGGAGAAUAAUCUACGAUGAGAUCGAUUCAGCUAGCUCGAAGGAGAAGGUGAUGAAACUAAACAGCUGAAGAAUCGAUAGAGAACUAAUCAGAUGGGUUUACUUCAAGUUACCUUGCCU
rnacentral:lncRNA from 1 species